CAGUCGCCGCGGUAAUACGGAGGGGGCUAGCGUUGUUCGGAAUUACUGGGCGUAAAGCGCACGUAGGCGGCUUUGUAAGUCAGAGGUGAAAGCCCGGGGCUCAACCCCGAAAUUGCCUUUGAGACUGCAUCGCUUGAUCGUCGGAGAGGUGAGUGGAAUUCCGAGUGUAGAGGUGAAAUUCGUAGAUAUUCGGAAGAACACCAGUGGCGAAGGCGGCUCACUGGCCCGGAACUGACGCUGAGACGCGAAAGCGUGGGGAGCAAACAGGAUUAGAUACCCGGUAGUCCCUGUCUCUUAUACA
rnacentral:rRNA from 1 species